AGAGUAAAUGGACGUGGUCUCCGUCUACCGAGACUUGAUUGGGUGUUUGUUUUCCGCUUGCUACGAAUUGGGCAAGUUCUGCGCCUUGAAACUGAAGUAGUGGCUCCGGCAGCAGCAAGGCAGUGCUUGGAGUUCAGCAAAAGCUAUUAAAGUGUUUCAUGAGUUUUUUUAGGGUAAAAUAGUUUCUGAAUAAUAACAUACAUAUCUCUGCAUCUUUCUAGGCCUGGUCUAUCUUGGGGUACAAGAGGGCAUCAUAUAACUUCAGACACCCAACUUCCACGGUUCUCUUAGACCCCCUACUGGAAACAUGUGAAAAUCCCUAGGGAUGUUUCAAACAUACUCAUGUAUCUGUCAAGUACAUCACAGGAGGUGAUUUCAUGUUCUCCCCUUCAGCUCUGAUUUCCCCUGGAUGUCUUCCUCUCAUAAAGCUGUGUAAGGGUGCCUUUUAAGAGAAUGCACCAUUUGCAUCAAAGGUUCUGCUAUUCCCUAAAUGUCCCCAGAGAAGGAAAAUGACUCCUUCCCCACUCACUGUUGCACUUUUCAGGUCACCUGGGAUCCAAGCAGCACUGUGGGAACUCCCUUGUCAUAGAGUCCUUCCCUCAACUUCUUCUGGUUUCUGCUAUCCGCAGACCUUGAUAUCAACUCAGAAGACUGUGUGGGAGAGAUACCAUUCUAACUCCACCCCACCCCAGGCAGCUUUAUACAAUCCUCCUCCUUCAUUUAUUCCCAAAAAGAGGUCCUCAAACAACUAACACCUGCAAAUCCACUCUUGUCAGGUCUCUCCAUUUUGCCAGACAUGAUUCGACAUGCUGGAAUCUGAAUUUGGGCUCAGGACUGGAGAAUCACUAUGUAUAGUUGUGUAGAUUGGUAACUGAUUUGAAAAAGAAUCCCAGAGAGUACCUAUUAAUGAAUUACUAUACCCUGUGGGAUGUGUCUAGGGGCUUGUUCAAUGACUUUUUUUCAACAUUUUUAUUAGUGAAUUAGUUUGAGGACAGAGCUGUCAAGCUAAUCACACUUGUAGAUGGCAGAAAGCUGGGAGGGACAGAAAAUAAAGUGGAUGGCAAAAUCAUAAUUAAAAAUGUACUAAGAGAUUGGAAUGCUGAUCUGAGUCUAAGAGAUAAAAUUUAUUAGGAAGAAAACAUAAAGCUACAUGUAGGUCCUAAACUCCACCUGUAUAGAUAUGAGCUAUAGCAGUGACUUUUACAUUUAUUUUACCAUGGACUACUUUCUUUUUUUAUUAUUUAUAUUUAUGUAUUUAUUUUUUAUUUUACUUUAAGUUCUGGAAUACAUGUGCAGAACGUGCAGGUUUGUUACAUAGGUAUGAGUGUGCCAUGGUGGUGUGCUGCACCUAUUUACCCAUUCUCAAAGUUCCCUCCCCUCACCCCCUACCCCCAACAGGUCCUGGUAUGUGUUGCUCCCCUCUCUGUGUCCAAGUGUUCUCAUUGUUCAACUCCCACUUAUAAGCGAUAAUAUGCAGUGUUUGGUUUUCUGUUCCUGUGUAAGUUUGCUGAGGAUGAUGGCUUCCAGCUUUAUCUGUGCCCCUGCAAAAGACACGAUCCCAUUCUUUUUUAUGGCUGCAUAGUAUUCUACUACCAUGGAAUACUUUCAUCAAAUAAAAUCUUGCCAGAAUUCUCAUAUGUAAGAAAAACUUGUUCUGGUUGAAGUGGGAAUGGAAGCUCUGGGAACCCACUCCUUACUCCUCUGCACCACUCUCCAUGGCCCCUGAGGACUUUCUGUGAAACACAAUUUGAAAGCUCUUGGGCUCUGAGGUGGCAGGCAGAGUGAGGAGAAAGAGACAAGAAGGCUGAAGAGAUGGCUAAGCAGCACAUAUGGGAACAAAAUCUGAUCAAUUUUAGUAGCAGACAGACUCAAUAAGAACUAAAGAUGUGAUGUGGUUAUCCCUUGAACAUGGUGAUUUUAUUUGGGUUGAGGUAAGUGACACAGUGUAGUAAGACUGGGGAAUGUUUCUCUCCAGGACAAACCACACAGGGACAUCAUGUUUUCAUACCAUUGUGAUCAUCUGAAAGCUAUAAUUUUACAACUUAUAUUUUCAUUAAGAUUUUAUUAUUAUAGCAUAAGGAUUUUCCACAUGGUUAGAUAAUUAUUAUUUGUAAUGGCUGCAUACCACGUCAUCAUGUAGGUACUUCAUGUAACCACUCUCCCACUAUUGGAAGAUUGGGCAGGGCUGCCAAAUACAGCUGCAUAGACUGUGCACUGCACAAGUCCAAAGACAUUCUCAGAGAAUAUAAUGAUUACAAAAAGUUGUUCUUCUUAUUUUUUUCUCAUUAUUCCUUUAGGUUGCCUGCUAUUCAGACCUCUAAAAUUUCAUUUUAAAAUUAUUUAUAGGGCCGGGCGCGGUGGCUCACGCCUGUAAUCCCAGCACUUUGGGAGGCCGNNNNNNNNNNGAGGCAGGAGAAUGGCGUGAACCCGGGAGGCGGAGCUUGCAGUGAGCCGAGAUCGCGCCACUGCAGUCCAGCCUGGGUGACAGAGCGAGACUCCGACUCAAAAAAAAAAAAAAAAAAAAAAAAAAAUUAUUUAUAUAAAUUUAAGGGGUACAAGUGUAGUUUUGUUAUGUGGAUAUAUUGCGUAGUGGUGAAGUUUGAGAAUUUAGUGUAACCAUCACCCAAAUAAUGCACAUUGUACCCACUAAGUAAUUUACCAUUCCUCAUCCCCUUCCCAUUCUUCCACCCUUCCAGGUUGCCAAUGUCUAUUAUUCCACACUCUGUGUCCAUGUGUACAUAUUAUUUAUCCCCCACUUAUAAAUGAGAGCCUGCAGUGUUUGAUAUGCUGUCUUUUAAGGUCAGACACGCACCAAUGGGUAUAGCCGGAAAAUAGUAACAAAUAUAUUUGUUCCUCCAGUAUUUAAAGAAUUCUAGUAAUACCUGAGUAUGGUGUUUUCUCAUUGGUCUCGGUAAGAAGAAUGACUGAAGCAGUUAAAUAUUCCACACAGGUUCCCAGCAUUCUUUCUACAAUCCACAAAUGAGAAGAAUUUUUUUUUUUUUUUUUUUUUUUUGAGAUGGAGUAUCACUCUAUUUCCCAGGCUGCAGUGCAGUGCUGCUAUCUCGGCUCACUGCAACCUCUGCUGCCCGGGUUCAAGCAGUUC
rnacentral:lncRNA from 1 species